rfam:Salmo salar isolate Sally breed double haploid chromosome ssa14, whole genome shotgun sequence.
UAGCUCAGUUGGGAGAGCAUGGUGUUUGCAACGCCAGGGUUGUGGGUUUGAUUCCCAC